rnacentral:rRNA from 1 species
CCUACGUGUGGCAGCAGUGGGGAAUAUUGGGCAAUGGGCGCAAGCCUGACCCAGCACCGCCGCGUGAAGGAUGAAGGUUUUCGGAUUGUAAACUUCUGUCGCGAGGGACGCAGAAUGACGGUACCUCGUACGAAAGCCCCGGCUAACUACGUGCCAGCAGCCGCGGUAAUACGUAGGGGGCACGCUUUGUCCGGAAUGACUGGGCUUAAAGGGAGUGUAGGCGGCUUAUCAAGUUAGCUGGGAAAUCACGCGGCUUAACCGCGGAACUGCAUCUAAACCUGGUGAGCUGGAGUGCAGGAGAGGUGAGGGGAAUUCCUAGUGUAGCGGGGGAAUGCGGAGAUAGUAGGAGGAACACCAGAGGCGAAGGCGAAUCACUGGACUGUAACUGACGCUGAGGCUCGAAAGCGUGGGGAGCAAACAGGAUUAGAUACCCCUGUAGUC